UACGUAGGGGGCAAGCGUUGUCCGGAUUCAUUGGGCGUAAAGAGCGUGUAGGCGGCCAGGUAGGUCGGUUGUGAAAACUGGAGGCUCAACCUUCAGAGGUCGACCGAAACCAUCUGGCUAGAGUCCGGGAGAGGAGAGUGGAAUUCCUGGUGUAGCGGUGAAAUGCGCAGAUAUCAGGAAGAACACCCGUGGCGAAGGCGGCUCACUGGACUGGUAUUGACGCUGAUGUGCGAAAGCGUGGGGAGCAAACAGG
rnacentral:rRNA from 1 species